rnacentral:rRNA from 1 species
CAGAGGUCUCAAGCGUUGUUCGGAUUCAUUGGGCGUAAAGGGUGCGUAGGCGGCGCGGUAAGUCGGGUGUGAAAUUUCGAGGCUUAACUUCGAAACUGCAUUCGAUACUGCCGUGCUCGAGGACUGGAGAGGAGACUGGAAUUUACGGUGUAGCGGUGAAAUGCGUAGAUAUCGUAAGGAAGACCAGUGGCGAGGGCGGGUCUCUGGACAGUUCCUGACGCUGAGGCACGAAGGCCAGGGGAGCAAACGGGAUUAGAUACCCCGGUAGUCCUGGCAAUAAACGGUGCACGUUUGGUGUGGGAGGAUUCGACCCCUUCUGCGCCGGAGCUAACGCGUUAAACGUGCCGCCUGGGGAGUACGGUCGCAAGAUUA